rnacentral:rRNA from 1 species
UGAGGAAUAUUGGUCAAUGGACGCAAGUCUGAACCAGCCACGUCGCGUGAAGGAAGACGGCCCUACGGGUUGUAAACUUCUUUUGUAAGGGAAUAAAGUGAGUCACGUGUGACUUUUUGCAUGUACCUUACGAAUAAGGAUCGGCUAACUCCGUGCCAGCAGCCGCGGUAAUACGGAGGAUCCGAGCGUUAUCCGGAUUUAUUGGGUUUAAAGGGUGCGCAGGCGGGAGAUUAAGUCGGCGGUGAAAUUUUGCAGCUCAACUGUAAAAGUGCCAUCGAUACUGGUUUUCUUGAGUGUGGAUGAAGUAGGCGGAAUUUGUGGUGUAGCGGUGAAAUGCAUAGAUAUCACAAGGAACACCGAUUGCGCAGGCAGCUUACUAAACCAUAACUGACGCUCAGGCACGAAGGCGUGGGGAGCAAACAGGAUUAGAUACCCUGGUAGUCCACGCAGUAAACGAUGAUUACUAGCUGUUUGCGAUACAAUGUAAGCGGCUGAGCGAAAGCGUUAAGUAA